rnacentral:rRNA from 1 species
GAUGAACGCUGGCGGCGUGCCUAAUACAUGCAAGUCGAGCGAACAGACGAGGAGCUUGCUCCUCUGACGUUAGCGGCGGACGGGUGAGUAACACGUGGAUAACCUACCUAUAAGACUGGUAUCACUUCGGGAAACCGGAGCUAAUACCGGAUAAUAUAUUGAACCGCAUGGUUCAAUAGUGAAAGACGGUUUUGCUGUCACUUAUAGAUGGAUCCGCGCCGCAUGAGCUAGUUGGUAGGGUAACGGCUUACCAAGGCAACGAUGCGUAGCCGACCUGAGAGGGUGGUCGGCCACACUGGAACUGAGACGCGGUCCAGACUCCUACGGGAGGCAGCAGUAGGGAAUCUUCCGCAAUGGGCGAAAGCCUGACGGAGCAACGCCGAGUGAGUGAUGAAGGUCUUCGGAUCGUAAAACUCUGUUAUUAGGGAAGAACAAAUGUGUAAGUAACUAUGCACGUCUUGACGGUACCUAAUCAGAAAGCCACGGCUAACUACGUG